GAUGAACGCUGGCGGCGUGCCUAAUACAUGCAAGUCGAGCGAACAGAUGAGGAGCUUGCUCCUCUGACGUUAGCGGCGGACGGGUGAGUAACACGUGGAUAACCUACCUAUAAGACUGGGAUAACUUCGGGAAACCGGAGCUAAUACCGGAUAAUAUAUUGAAUCGCAUGGUUCAAUAGUGAAAGACGGUUCUGCUGUCACUUAUAGAUGGAUCCGCGCCGCAUUAGCUAGUUGGUAAGGUAACGGCUUACCAAGGCAACGAUGCGUAGCCGACCUGAGAGGGUGAUCGGCCACACUGGAACUGAGACACGGUCCAGACUCCUACGGGAGGCAGCAGUAGGGAAUCUUCCGCAAUGGGCGAAAGCCUGACGGAGCAACGCCGCGUGAGUGAUGAAGGUCUUCGGAUCGUAAAACUCUGUUAUUGGGGAAGAACAAAUGUGUAAGUAACUAUGCACGUCUUGACGGUACCUAAUCAGAAAGCCACGGCUAACUACGUG
rnacentral:rRNA from 1 species